rnacentral:rRNA from 1 species
UACGGAGGGGGCUAGCGUUGUUCGGAAUUACUGGGCGUAAAGGGCUCGUAGGCGGCCAACUAAGUCAUACGUGAAAUCCCCCAGCUUAACUGGGGAACUGCGUGUGAUACUGGAUGGCUUGGAUUUGGGAGAGGGAUGCGGAAUUCCAGGUGUAGCGGUGAAAUGCGUAGAUAUCUGGAGGAACACCGGUGGCGAAGGCGGCAUCCUGGACCAAUAUUGACGCUGAGGAGCGAAAGCCAGGGGAGCAAACGGG